rnacentral:rRNA from 1 species
CCUACGGGAGGCAGCAGUGAGGAAUAUUGGUCAAUGGACGGAAGUCUGAACCAGCCAUGCCGCGUGCAGGAAGACGGCUCUAUGAUUUUUAACCUGCUUUUGUACAAGGGUAAACCUGAAUACGUGUAUUUAGCUGUAAGUACUGUACGAAUAAGGAUCGGCUAACUCCGGGCCAGCAGCCGCGGUAAUACGGUGGGUGCGAGCGUUAAUCGGAAUUACUGUGCGUAAAGGGCGCGUAGGCGGUAUGUCAAGUCAAGGGUGAAAUCCCCGCGCUUAACCUGGGAACCGCCUAUGAAACUGGCUGACUGGAGUGUGUGAGAGGGAGGUGGAAUGCCAGGUGUAGGAGUGAAAUGCGUAGAUAUGAGGAAGAACAUCGAUGGCGAAGGCAACCAUCUGGGACGUAACUGACGCUGAGGAGCGAAAGCGUGGGGAGCAAACAGGAUUAGAUACCCUGGUAGUC